UCUGGCGCCCUGCUCUUCUCGGCUGUCGGUGACAGAGAUGGAAACUCCACUAGAGCUGAUGCUUCCUCUCCCUUCGCCGUUAAUAGCCUGUCUCGAUCAGGACGUUUCCACCGGCAGCAAAUGAGGAGGUGACGGCGGGGAUAAGAUAAUACCUUGGCACCUUACCAACUACUGUGAGUCUACUACAUAGUAACACCUGCUUUGAAACCAGUGAUCAAGACAGUGGCUGUUGUGCAGCCAUGGCCAGUUCCUGCAGCUCUGGAGUCAAAGAGGAGAGUGAUGUUGGCAACCUCAGCAAUGGCACUGAUGGAACACUUUCAAACUCUUUCGUAGAAGAAAUUCAGGGCUAUGAUGUUGAGUUUGAUCCCCCACUGAAAAGUAAAUAUGAAUGUCCUAUUUGCGUAAUGGCUCUGCGAGAAGCAGUACAAACACGAUGUGGACACCAUUUCUGCAAAGCUUGCAUUGUCAAAUCCAUAAGGUCUGACUGUGUGAUAAUGACACCAAUGAUUUCUUCGUCUGUGGCAGCUGAGACGGAUGAGGGACUGAAAGCUCCAACAGUUUUAUUUGGAGAACCUGAAUUGCAUUGGAAGAAGGACCAUCAGCUGCAUUGUGGCUUUGCGUCAGAAGAAUGUUCUCAGUGCCAAGGCUGUUUCCAAAAGAAACAGCUACAAGAACACAUAAUGCUAGAAUGUCCAAGACGGCAAGUCACUUGUCCAAACUGUAUCAUGAGCAUGGCAUAUGAAGAUAAAGAGUGUACUGUGACAGAGAAAAUUCACCCAGCAACAGAGAAGCCACUGGAAUUCCAACAUCCAGUGGGAGCCAGGAAGCAGAGAAAUUCACUGUUGGAGGGUUGUCAGUUGGAAGUUAAGAGUCGAGAGUUCGGUGAAGCUUAACAAGAGAGCAUGUGACUGACAGCACAAAGCUGUCCUGGAACUGAGGAAAGUUACAACAGAGUGCUGGGGACAGGGCUAUGGAUCAGGGUAAGAAGAAGCACAAGGGGCUGUUUGGUUGCAUUUUGGUCACAUGCCUGGAAUCAGAGGUAGGGUGAUCUUAGGUAUUAGCUCAGCUAGGUAGAUAGGGCUCAGAUUCAUUCAAACUUCACUGUUAUUGUAGACUGAGUCUUGCUGAAAAUUACACCAUCAGAGAUGCACCUGUAGCCAUAACUUUGAAGCAUCUCUCUCACAAUAUUGUACUAUUAUAACAAUGCACUAACAGACUGGGACAUGCAACAUUUUCAGCACUUUAACACCUCAAAAUAAUCAAAGGCACUACUCUUAACUUGUCUGCAUAAGUGACCCCAAAGGUUCACAAGGGUACCACAAUUUUCCUAAGUUAAUCUUUAAGUUUUAGAUCUGGGCUUGGCCUUUUGUGGGUGGAAGAACUUCUCUCCAUAGAUUGUGAUCCCUCUCUUCCUUUUACAGCCCAAAAUGCUCCCUGCAGUGUUGCUCCUGAGGGACAGCCCCACAGGCCAGAACAGCUGGAGGGGAAUUGGCAAAAAAUUCCCACUUGCAUCCUUGGAAAUGUAGGCAGAAUCCAACCUAGAUAUUCUAAAGAAGCCUCAGGAGACAGGAAGCUCCAUACACAAGCCAGGUGUCCAACUGUACCACCGCAGCCACACCGCAGCCACCACCCCCAAAGAGGCUUCCCGGAAGUGUGGGGAGGCUGGAAAAGGAAAAGUCCCAGCUGCUAAGGAGCCUCAACAGGCUGCAAUGGACUAACAGUGGCAUAAUGCCAGCAAAGACCAGAAGGUAGUUAACUUUGGCUUCUUCAUGGCCAUGCCCCCACCCACCCCUGCUACUGUUACCGCCAGGAAAAUAUGAAAAAUAUUUUCCUAAGCCUAUUGCCUGACUGCACUGGCUAAAGGCCAGAGCAAAGAGACCGGUGUUACCAAAAAGUCUCCAUAGGGCCUGGAAAGGACAUGUACAUGUGGCUGUGCCAAUGUUUUCCAUGGUUUUCUUCCUGCUUUUAUUUCUGUUAAGACUUAGUGUAAGCCCCUCAAUGUUGGAUUUAUUGUUUGCCCAAUGUGUAUGCUUAUGUCUUAGUUAGGUUUUUCCAGUCGAUUUAAGG